UACGAAGGGGGCGAGCGUUGUUCGGAAUUAUUGGGCGUAAAGGGCGUGUAGGCGGCCUUGGAAGUCAGAUGUGAAAGCCCCGGGCUCAACCUGGGAAUGGCAUUUGAUACUCUGAGGCUGGAGUACGGGAGAGGAGAGUGGAAUUCCCAGUGUAGAGGUGAAAUUCGUAGAUAUUGGGAAGAACACCGGUGGCGAAGGCGGCUCUCUGGACCGUAACUGACGCUGAGGCGCGAAAGCGUGGGGAGCAAACAGG
rnacentral:rRNA from 1 species